GUGAAUAUAGUUUAACAAAAACCCUAGAUUGUGAUUCUAGUAACAAAGGUUAAAUCCCUUUUAUUCACC
rnacentral:tRNA from 2 species